GACAGAGGGUGCAAACGUUGUUCGGAAUUACUGGGCGUAAAGCGCGUGUAGGCGGCCAAGCAAGUCGGAUGUGAAAGCCCUCGGCUCAAUCGGGGAAGUGCACUCGAAACUGCAUGGCUAGAGUCUCGGAGAGGAUCGUGGAAUUCUCGGUGUAGAGGUGAAAAUUCGUAAGAUAUCGAGAGGAACACCGGUGGCGAAAGGCGGGUUCUCUGGGACGGUACUGACGCUGAUGUGCGAAAAGCGUGGGGGGAGCAAACAGGAUUAGAAAACCCUGGGUAAGA
rnacentral:rRNA from 1 species